CUCAUGGAUUGGCUCUCUCUGCAGGGCAGCUCCCCUUGUGAUUUCUGCUGCAGCUCCGUCAGUCAUGUGAAAACCUAAGAAAUUACAGGUAAAAAAAAGGGAUGUGCUCAUUAUUAAACUGAGCACAGACGAGCAAGAAGAGAUGGUCACGGCUGCUCAAUGAAGCACAUGAUUAUUGGAAAAUGUUGGGAUGCUGAGUAACAAGGAUGCACUGUAAGUAAGAAGGGUGGGCUGAACAGGAGAGAGAAAAUGAAAACAGAGGACAAGCUCCCAAAACCGCAAUCGGACAAGUUUUCUUUUAAAAGGCAUCUUCUCUGCCUGCGAGACCAUCAAUAAUGGAAAAGGAUUUUUCCAGUGCUUUUUAGGCCAGAGAGAGAGAGGGAAGGAAGGAAGAAAAGAGCAAGACAAAGAGGAAGCAAGCCAGUGGAACAGUGAAUGCUGUAAUGCAAAGUUCUGGAGACUAAAAGUCUGAAAUCAAGCUGUCAGCAGGGUCAUGCCCGCUUCCUUAGAAGGCUGUAGAGAAGAAUCCUUCUUUGCUGCUCCUGGCUUCAAGUGGCUGUCACAAUCCUUGGCUUAUAGCUGCAUCACUCCCGUUUCUGCCCCUGGCUUCACAUGGCUUCUUCCCUCUGUGUGUGCUUGUGUUUCUCCAAAUUCCCCUCGUCUUACAAAGACAUUGGUAAUUGGAUUAACACUCACCCUGAUCAGCUUAUUGAAUUUGAAUCAGCUGCUGGAUGCCGUUGUUUUUUCUUGGGAACGUAUUUAUCCCAUUGUGGGCAUGUUCCUGUCUCCAACUCUCCGGCACUUUUUCUUUGCUCUUUAUUGAGAAGUCAACUUUGUGCUGAAGAAGUUUCUGUUUUCCAUAUGAUUGAUCUUCAGGUGGUGGGGGAGCCCUCACUGAAACAGUGGUUUUAAAAAAAUUACACCCUUUCAUCUUUGGUCUCAUCUUGUGGAAGAAAGAAGAACUGAGCUAUUCUACCAACUAUUGUGAACUGUUCAAAUUUCCUCUGGGGAGAAAAACCAGUUGCUUUCAAAGCUCUGAGGAGUAUCAAAAAAUGCUCCUAGGCUAAAUACAGUAAAUAAAAGGCAAUGUGGACUUUCAAAAGACUGCUCCAGGGGCACACGAGAAAGUUUUAGCUGGUGUGAGAAUCACUGAAACAGAAACCUGGGGCAGGUGGGGGGAAGGAACAGAUGAAAUCAGAAAGAAUAUCUAUAAAUUUAGCCUAUAUUUAUAGGGAUACCUAUACUCAUGGUCUUGGUGAAAUGAAACACUGAAAGAAAAUAUGUGCAAUCUCUUUUUAGAGUUUGUGACCUUGCAAAUUAAAAAUGGAAUUUACUGCUUUGUGCAUUAGAUUUAUUAAUAUGGACUUGUUCUUACAUAGCUCUUUAAUCUGUCUUUAUAGGUCAUUAUUUUUUACAACAGGCUCCUACCUUAUCUUUUGGAUUCUAGACUCACUGCUUUAAAUCUAUUUUGUGAGCAUGCUCACACGCAUGCGCGCACACACACACACACACACAUACAAUUAAAUACUGAAGACAUUUUUUGCCCUGGAGGGGGACUUCAAUCACCACCUUCUGAGAGUUGUCCUUGUGUAGUUUUUCUUUCUCAUUGGAUCGGGUUUGUUCUGUGUAACCAACAGUGUGUAACAGAAGUGAUGGUGUGCUGCUUAUGAAAUUAGAUAUUAAAAGACUAGCGUUUCCUUUCUGGAUGUAUUUUUGUUCCUUACCUCCCUCCCUCCAUCUCUUCUCUUCUCUUCUCUUCUCUCUCUCUCUCUCUCUCUCUCUCUCUCUCUCUCUCUCUCUCUCUCUCUCUCUCUCUCUCCACUCACUGCUUCCUUUGGGGAAAGUCAGCUACUACAUAGUGAACACACUCA
rnacentral:lncRNA from 1 species